UUUUCGAAUAUUCGAAUACUCGAAUUAUUCGAGUUUGAUUCCGAGUCCUAGUUUAUACCUGCAAAUGGUUUGCAUUUACUAUCUUUCAAUAACGUCUAUUCACUCUCUUUUUCCUUUUAGAUAAAUCACACAAAAUUAUGAAAGCUACCGCUGCAAUUUUAGCAUCAUCCAUGAUGAACAGUACAUUUAUUUCGCCGUGCAAGCUGGAACCUUGGCAAAUGCAAACAUUUUUAUUUAUUGUUGCAGCAAUUUAUGUAGACGCGAGGCGCCAAUUGUGUGUGAACGUUCGCGAAUGUUUGGCGCGGUAUUGCGCUGCGGUCUGGACGCACCUUUAUAGGCUGGAAAAAAUACGUCAAUUUUUGUCAUGUCAUUGUUAAAUUAGUGUUUUGUUUAAUAGCGCAUGGGCGACAAUGCAAGCGCUUCGUUCCGUGAGUAUUUCGAAGAAUCGAGGAAAUUUUUUAUUUUUUUGCGGAAGACGGCAGAUUUACUGAAAAAUUAAUUUAAUUUCCACCGUUUUAAGGUAUUUUUCUCACCGAUAGUGUGAUUGAAGCUAAAAAAUCGGAAUUUUUCACACACAGAAAUGUUUGACGUUUGCUGUCAGAGAUUAUCUCGACAAGCGCCGAGUUUGCAUCAAUUUUGGGGCGCAUUUUGAGUUUUGAGGACUGUUUGACGUGUUUGUGAGGUUGUUGAGGACUUUGGGACUAUGCAGUUCGACUAUGGGACACAGAAAUAUGCAGCUAAUGGUAGCAACUAUGACAAGUCAUUGAUGGUAUUAGUCAUCUUCCUGGUAGUAUUGAACGUCGAACCGUUGAAAAAUCACUCGUAAAUAUAAAAUAGACACGUUAAAAAAAGCAAUUGAAAAAUCCCUCAAAUAAUAAUAAUCUAGCACGUUAUUUAAAACUGAUGCCAUUCUGUUGUGAGAUUUACUUCAAGAGUUUUUUAAAUUUAUUUAUUUAAUUGCCAAAAGAGUCCUCAAAGAAGUUCAAUUGUAUUUAUAUUUAUGGUAACAAAAUAAAACACUUUCAGCAAA